UGCACCCUUGUCAACACCCUCUGUGUUGGAAC
rnacentral:piRNA from 1 species